UCUUUAAUGGAGAGUUUGAUCCUGGCUCAGGACGAACGCUGGCGGCGUGCCUAAUACAUGCAAGUCGAGCGGGGUUAGUUAGAAGCUUGCUUCUAAUUAACCUAGCGGCGGACGGGUGAGUAACACGUAGGCAACCUGCCCACAAGACAGGGAUAACUACCGGAAACGGUAGCUAAUACCCGAUGCAUCCUUUUCCUGCAUGGGGGAAGGAGGAAAGGCGGAGCAAUCUGUCACUUGUGGAUGGGCCUGCGGCGCAUUAGCUAGUUGGUGGGGUAAAGGCCUACCAAGGCGACGAUGCGUAGCGACCUGAGAGGGUGAUCGGCCACACUGGGACUGAGACACGGCCCAGACUCCUACGGGAGGCAGCAGUAGGGAAUCUUCCGCAAUGGGCGAAAGCCUGACGGAGCAACGCCGCGUGAGUGAUGAAGGUU
rnacentral:rRNA from 1 species